CAUGUAAGUGAUGCUUCUGAAUGAAUGAGUGUCCCCUCCCACCUCCAAUACUAGUACUACGGGAUGUCUAUAAGAGCAGAUCGCCGGGACAGCCCGCUGAAUUGCAUGACAUGAGGAGUGAGGCGCAGGUGCCAGAAGCGAAAUUUAAAAAGAUCAAAAUCCGACAUAUAUUUUUUUUACAAGAAUGUAGUAGCAGUGCUGGCCAUGGGGGUAGUUUUAUUCAAGUCGUAAAGUGUAGAAAUCUCCGCUGGAGUUGAGAAGACCAUGGGCUGUCUCUAGCCCCGGUGUCCUGCUGUGCGGGGCAUAUCCACGGCGGAUACGACAUGGGGCAUGAAAAUAGAUC
ensembl:lncRNA